rnacentral:lncRNA from 1 species
GCUGUCCCCAUAACUGCAGCAGCACCUUGGCUGAGGCAUGGGGCUGUGCAGUUCCCAUGCAGAGAGAGCAAGAGCUGGGGAUGUUGAUGGACCCUGGGUUGAGCCUGGCAUGUUCCAAGAUCUGCCCUUUACAUUGAUGAGCCUAUGGCAGGGGAAGUGCUGUGAUUGUCAUGAGACAGGCUAUAGCCUGUACAUCAGCAACAGUGUGGGAUUGUUCCAGAAGGGAGAGCACAGUGGUGCUGGUUUGAGACACAGAAAGGUGCCUGCUCAGCAAGAACAAAUAGGAAGAAAAAGGACUCGGGUGUGGCGGUGUGCGAGGUCUUGGCCCCAUUAAGAAAAAGCCCUUUUACCCCACGGUGAAGGUGCUGGUGAGACCAUCACUGAUAUCCACAGCCACGCAGGUGAGGAGGAGGAUGAGGGUGUGUCAUCUGCACAGGCACGUCCUGCUCCCUGCCUCUCCCCAUCACACCCUGCUGCCCUCACACCAUCUCUCCCCCAGCCGUAUAUCCCCGGAUCCUGCACACCCUCCCCACAGGCACGGUGCUGGCAGUGGCGGCCAUCGGCCUCGUCCUCCUGGGUGCAGGCAGCUGGUUUGCCAUCAGGAAAGGUGCCUGCAGAGGGAGAUGCCCAAGGUGAGCACCAAGGGCUGCUGGCUGUGGGGUAUGCGGGAGGGAGUUGGGGGAAUGAAAGGUCCCUGGGGUGCUCCUUGUUCAGGGGCAUCUCCUGUGCAGAAGUCAGGAAGGAUGGGGCUUGUCUUUGGCUGCCCUCCAGUUCAAUGACAAAUGCAGGAAAGCAACUCCAAAGGGCAUAAGCCUCUAGAUCCCUCCUCAGCACAUGCACAUCCCAGAACCAUUCCAUUCCUCUCCAGGCAGCAGCACGUUGACAGCCCACAGACGGAAGACACCAACUAUGGUGACAUCCAGUGUGAGUACUACCUCCUCCCUUGGGGGAAGCCACAUGCUCCUCUCCCCAUGAGAAUCUUCUGCAAG